rnacentral:tRNA from 1 species
GGAUAUAGCUCGCUUGGUAGAGUACUUGCCUCACAUGCACAAGGCCCUGGGUUCAAUCCCCAGCACCA